rnacentral:lncRNA from 1 species
UUAGAUUCUAGAUGCUGUUAAUUUUAAGUUAUCUUCAGUUAUUAAUGCCAUGCAAGAUGUUAAGGUCAAUGAGUUGAUCAACAGUAAUGAGAGAACAUGGAAGUGAGAUUUCAUAAACAAUAAAUUUUCCGCAGAUGAUGCUGGAAAAAUCCUUCGUAUCCCUUUAGCACGCACACCUCACGAAGAUUUCUUGGUCUGGGGAGGUGAGUAUUCAGGUGAGUUUUCGGUUCGCAGUGCCUAUAAACUAUUACAAUAAACUAUUACAAGGUUUGGAGGAAAUUCCUAGAGCUUACACUUUACAAACAGGCUAUAUGAACUUUUACAAAAAACUAUGGCUCCUUAAUCUACCAAGCAAAAUUAAGGUUACAAUAUGGAGAAUCUCAUGGAAUUAUUUGUCGACAAGGGUUAAUAUGCAGUAGCAUUAGCUCGUCAGUAACACAAACUGCCCUCGGUGCGGUGAAAGUGCUGAAACAAUCGACCAUAUUUUUCGCAAAUGUCCUGUCACAGUGGAAGUUUGGUCACUAUUAAAAAUUCAGAAUUUGAUUCUGGUUCCUAACAUGGAUUUUUUAUAGUGGAUUACCUGGAUUUUUGAUCUAUUUUUUAAAGGGCAACAAAUAGCAGACUUCAUCAACAACUAUAUUGUUGAACCUAAUGGGCUUGAAAUAAGAAGGUCAAUUAAGGGAAAGGAAACAAGAAAGUGGAGCUACCCACAUCGCGAAUUCGUUAAAAUAAAUUUUGAUGGUGCGUAUGAUGCGACUCACCAUAAAUCUGCCUCAGGGGUUGUGGUCAGAGACGAGGAAAGGCUUGUCCUUCUUUCCUACUCAGAGAUCAACCACGGGGUAUCUUCCGCAUUUGCAGCCGAAGCAAUAGCGUGUAGAAAAGCGGUCAAAGUAGGAGUGGGACAACAAUGGCCGAAGGUGAUAAUAGAAGGCGACUCCCUCACGAUAAUCAAAAAAUGCACAACCAAAAGUCAAGAUCGUUCACAUAUAGGAGCUUAUAUACACGAUAUACAACAAAACAUUAACAGAUCGAGAAGCUUCUUUUUCAAACGUACAAUAAGAUCUGCAAACAACCUUGCGCAUGUAAUAACAACGGAAACUUUAAGAAGGAAGGAGGAGACGUACCUGGAAAUGGGGGUUCCGGUGUAUGCUGAGAUUCAACAAAGAAUGGAUCAGAGACGAGAGCCAGAUUGAUAACAGAGGGGAAACAGAGAAAUGAAAGGAAAGUAAAGGAAAGUCGGAGAAAUGGUUUUUGAAAGGAUAAACUUUCCUAAAAGCUGAAUCGUUAAAAGAAAAUUGAAAGGUACAUUGAUGAUACGACGGUUUACAGUAUGAUCUGACUGGGCAUUAAUUAGGUACAUCAAUCUAUAAUUUUUGACUGUUUGAUAAAUAUCUAGAUAUUUUCUAAUUAGUUUUUGAGCCUUUUUAGUUUCAGGCCGUGUCUUGUUUAGGUGCUGAUUGGUUUUCUCUUUUGCUUUUGGACUUUUACUAUGUACUUUUAUUUUAUUCAGUAUACAGCCCAGUCUGAAUUCUUUCAAAAAAAUUCAUUAAUAUAAUUCAGAAA